CCUGGCUCAGGAUGAACGCUAGCUACAGGCUUAACACAUGCAAGUCGAGGGGCAGCAUUUCAGUUUGCUUGCAAACUGGAGAUGGCGACCGGCGCACGGGUGAGUAACACGUAUCCAACCUGCCGAUAACUCGGGGAUAGCCUUUCGAAAGAAAGAUUAAUACCCGAUGGCAUAAUUAGACCGCAUGGUCUUGUUAUUAAAGAAUUUCGGUUAUCGAUGGGGAUGCGUUCCAUUAGGCAGUUGGUGAGGUAACGGCUCACCAAACCUUCGAUGGAUAGGGGUUCUGAGAGGAAGGUCCCCCACAUUGGAACUGAGACACGGUCCAAACUCCUACGGGAGGCAGCAGUGAGGAAUAUUGGUCAAUGGGCGCAGGCCUGAACCAGCCAAGUAGCGUGAAGGAUGACUGCCCUAUGGGUUGUAAACUUCUUUUAUAUGGGAAUAAAGUUUUCCACGUGUGGAAUUUUGUAUGUACCAUAUGAAUAAGGAUCGGCUAACUCCGUGCCAGCAGCCGCGGUAAUACGGAGGAUCCGAGCGUUAUCCGGAUUUAUUGGGUUUAAAGGGAGCGUAGGUGGACAGUUAAGUCAGUUGUGAAAGUUUGCGGCUCAACCGUAAAAUUGCAGUUGAUACUGGCUGUCUUGAGUACAGUAGAGGUGGGCGGAAUUCGUGGUGUAGCGGUGAAAUGCUUAGAUAUCACGAAGAACUCCGAUUGCGAAGGCAGCUCACUGGACUGCAACUGACACUGAUGCUCGAAAGUGUGGGUAUCAAACAGGAUUAGAUACCCUGGUAGUCCACACAGUAAACGAUGAAUACUCGCUGUUUGCGAUAUACAGUAAGCGGCCAAGCGAAAGCAUUAAGUAUUCCACCUGGGGAGUACGCCGGCAACGGUGAAACUCAAAGGAAUUGACGGGGGCCCGCACAAGCGGAGGAACAUGUGGUUUAAUUCGAUGAUACGCGAGGAACCUUACCCGGGCUUAAAUUGCAUUUGAAUAUAUUGGAAACAGUAUAGCCGUAAGGCAAAUGUGAAGGUGCUGCAUGGUUGUCGUCAGCUCGUGCCGUGAGGUGUCGGCUUAAGUGCCAUAACGAGCGCAACCCUUAUCUUUAGUUACUAACAGGUCAUGCUGAGGACUCUAGAGAGACUGCCGUCGUAAGAUGUGAGGAAGGUGGGGAUGACGUCAAAUCAGCACGGCCCUUACGUCCGGGGCUACACACGUGUUACAAUGGGGGGUACAGAAGGCAGCUACCUGGUGACAGGAUGCUAAUCCCAAAAGCCUCUCUCAGUUCGGAUCGAAGUCUGCAACCCGACUUCGUGAAGCUGGAUUCGCUAGUAAUCGCGCAUCAGCCAUGGCGCGGUGAAUACGUUCCCGGGCCUUGUACACACCGCCCG
rnacentral:rRNA from 1 species